GCGGCGGCGCGCGCCCUUCGGGGCGGUGAGGGCGGGCAGGGCCGCCGGGGCCGGGCCCCUGUCGUCGUGGGCCGCGGCCGCCGGUGCCGGAGGGGGAGGAAGAAGAGCCCUCCCUCUGCCAGGCCGUUCGGGGGCGGCGUGGCAGGGCCGGGGCCGCCGGUGCUCGUCGAGGAGUUUUUUUUCCCUCAGGGCCGACCGGGCGAUUUCUCCCCGCCGAAGGAGAAGGAGCUCCCGCUAGAUGAAUUGAUAACGUGAGGCAAUGGGACAGAAGGAAAGAUUAAGAUGAGGAGCUUAAUAGCUAAGAAAAUAAACGGCUAUAAGAUCAGAAAGAUAAGCUGAGCCGCGUCCAUCAAGAGAGCAGUGUUUGUGUUGGAUCUGACGCAAAUGGGAUGCUAAUGGCAGUGAAGGAAAGAUGCAGGGAAUCCUGCUUCGUGGAGGAAGGGCCACUCCGGUAAUUCCGUUCAACACUUCCCUUCAGCUGACAAGUCAACCAUGUCACACUGUACCCUGUGAGAAGUCCAUCAUCUGGGAAAAAAACCCAUCCAAUUGGAUUGGAAAGCCCAAGUUCUUUCAGAGGAGCAGCUGAGGGCUUUUGCAGGUUUGUUUCCCCUUUAUUCCAUCUCUAGGCAAUUGGUAGGAGGACACUUGAGGCCAAAUUUGUGGUGCUGCUGAACACCCAAGUGAAGCUGAUUGAUACAGUGCAUUAAGUGAAUGAAACAGUGU
rnacentral:lncRNA from 1 species